GCCGCCGCCAGCCGCGCCUGCGCACGGGGCAGGCCCCGACACAGGUUAAUGCGCCGCGCCGGCGAAUGCACCGGAAGAAAAUCGGCCGAGUAGCGCAGGAAAACAAACAAACGAAUGAGAACUACGGGCAAGGCCGUUCGCUUUGCACUUCGUACGCCCCGGCGGUGCCUUCUCCUUGCCCUCGGCGCUGCCUCCGACGCUGGCCCGGGGCGGCGUUGGUCGUGCCGUGGCUUUUCUAAACGCGUGCGUGACCGGAGCCCCCGCAUCGGGCGGGUCCCGUUGGGAAUGCUCUCAAAGCCGCGGGCUGCCCCAGAGCUUCCUUUUUAGCCGUGGUGGCUGGCGUGAGCCCCCGAACACGUCAUGUCGUGACUGUCGCCACUUUUUUGUCGGCGGGGAUAGGCGCGGCUCCAAACUGCAGGGAGGGACAUUUAUUUCUCCCGUACUGUUGAGAAUUUGUAGGCUACACAAUGCUUUCCGGGUGCAGACCCUCUUUUUCAGCUCAAGCAAAUAACCCUUCUUCUGACUUUGCAAAAAUUGCAAAAACUACUUGUGAGGAAAUACUGAGGAGGCCUUGAGCCAUGCAUGAUAAGAAAGGUAAAAUUGUAGACAGAAUCUAAAUUGUUGAGGUGGAAUCAUCAGUUCGUAGAUUCAAGAAGCAAAGUGUGAAAAUAUACAGAAUCCUCAGAGAAAGGAAGGUAGGAAGAACAAGAGUAAGAGCUAUUGGCCUGAUGCAAAAAGCGAUAAAGCCUGAUGGUUGACUACUUUAUUCAACCACGACUGCUGAUAAGGUGUUUUACCAACAGAGAUCAUUGACACUUCAAUCCCAGCUGCUGUGUCGAUAAGUAAUUCCCUUAUGGUUUGAAAUUGUGUAUAUGCUGUUUGCAGACUCUUAGUGCCUUCUGGGCUGCUAGUUAGUGCAUAGUAGUAGUUGCCUGAAUGAAGUGACCUGGAGUGGGAGUGUUAAUGAAGGGCAGAAAAAAGACCAGGCUUCUUCUUGUGGUUUUUUUUUGGGGGCGUGUUGUUUUGUUUUGUUUUGUUUUAAAGUGGGAAACAUCUUUUUUUCUGCCCUUGCAUCUAUCUAGUUGUUCUUAUUAUUGUGGGUAUGCAAAACUUGGGGUUUCAGAACUUGGUCUUCUACUAGUAGCUUUAUUUAGUAGUAACAAUUACGAUGUGAUCGUUAUCAGGGCUACAUUUAAUGCUGGAUUAAAGAAUGACAGUGUUUUCCUUAGAGAGAAGUCAAAUAGAUUUAGACAGACAAUGGAGACAAGGCAACAUAAGCAUGGUCUGUGCUGGAUUUCUGCUGUCUUUGGGAAUCAGGAAGGUCCAGUUUCUCCACUUGUUUAUUUUAAAGGCUCUUGUGGUCUGUAGGAUGAUAGAAACAUGUUUUUGUUCUCUGGUUAUAAGCUUUCUGACCCUGUCUUAUUUUAGACAUUGCAUGCAAAUGAAUUAAGAAGACAAGUGAUAUAGUGAUAAUAGGAAGCUGUUAAAAUCUGCUGAAGUCAGACUGGUGACAAGUUUAUUUAAUUAUCUAUAGUCAAUUACUUGCUGACUAAACCUGUGUUCUUGAGUCCAGGAUUUGAUACUUUUGUAAGUGGUGAGUCUGUCUGUGUGGCUAUAAUGGAAAAAUCCACAUGGAUGCCUUUGGUGGUUGUAGACCUUGUAUAGGUACUUCAGCAUUUCUCUGAGACGUAUCCGUAUUGAUCUGUCUGCAGAUCAGCCAUUGUGCCAAAUUUGGAAACAAAGUUUCUCCUUCAAAAGCUAAGAACUCACAGCUUCUGGGAUCAAACUCGGCACAGGGCUUCUGUCUUCGUAAAGCCUGAAUGUGAUUAACACUGCUAUAAUAUUUACUGACAGCAAAAUAAAUUCACCAGAAGGCAGUCAGUUAAAAAUAAAGAGUGAUGUCAUGCUCUGCCUGUCACUUCCUACCACUGAGGAUGGAACAAAGCUGUUCUUUUCAUGUAUAAAGACACACCAAAAGUACAAGAUUUUUAUUCUGAAGAAUCUUUCUUAGACUGUACCAAGCAGAAGAACUGAGAUUGAAAAAAUAUAUAUUUUUUUAAUAAUUUGGUAUUUUACCAAUGUGACCAUGUUGAUAUUAAAUAUAAAUAAUCAAGAGGUUGGAUUUUUUUUUCAUAUAAAGCAUCUGCAAGUGGGAUGAUUAAAAAAUGAAUGUAUGUGUAUUCAGCUUAGAUAGAGUUUCAAAUAGGAUGCAUUUUUCUUGAACUAGGACUCUGAAUUUUUCCAGGUAAUUUAAAAAUAACAUAACAAAACAGCCCAUGAGAAGAACACAGGCUAUCCAGCUGAGUUCAUAUACACAAGCAGCCUGUUCUCAAUGCCGGGCAGCACCAAACACAUCAGAGAAAAAUACUGUAACUCUCAUGAUAUAUGUGUGCCAUGGGCUGCCACACUAGAUCUCCUUUUUAUCCUUUCAUACCUCUUAGGAGAGACAUUUCUAAAGCUGCUGUGCACCUGGAAAAUAAAAAGUACAUUUGUGACGGUUCUUUGAAUCUUUUUAGUUUUUCAUUCCAGUUUUGAUUAGAUGUUGUGUGUAUUUUUUUCUUUCUCAGCUAGUUCUGUAGCUGAGUGGAAAAUGAGAAAUUAAUUUUGAUAGUUAACUAGCAUAAAAAGUCUGAUUGACCUAUUGAAAAUUCCCUUUAGAGAAGGGAGGAGUGUCUUGUCAUUAACUUGUGUUACUGUGUGGUACUACUAAGGUUUCUUUGCUGUCUUCACUACUCAGAAGAUCAGGAGUCAGAGUAUAAGUCCAUAUGGGCAGGUAAUCUCAGUGAAAUAAGAGUCUUUUUUUGGUAACAGGUGCCCAGCUAGAGAAUCUUAGAGAGGAGGCAGGUGAGGUUUGCUUCGUGAUUUGUGGUCUGGGAAUGGCACAGCAGUCAACCACAGAGGAAAAUUAGGAAUGCCCUAAUACAGCAGCAGUACAGGUUUAUAUUUUAUUCUGUCCACAUUUUCUACCACUGACACUGUUUUCCUCUUCUCUUCUUUUUGUUGUUGUUUGUUCAUAAUUGAUGUCAGUCUAAAUGGAUACUUAAGCAACUUCAUAUAUCAUUAGGAUUCAGGGAAUUGAGCCCUCUAUCCUGAUUACUGGUUUACCAGUAAACACAAUGAGAGCAUUGAUCCUUUUGUUCCUUAUCUCAUCAGUGUUAGGCAGAACCAGAGAACACAGAAUUAGCAAGAAUUGAUUAUAAGCCAAGUAAAAAUGACUGUCCUGCAAGUUUGUAAAGGUGAACUCAAGAGAGAUGGACUUACUGAUGGAUCACUUUUGCCUUUCAGUGAUUUUUGGUCGUUCUGUUACUUAAUCUCGUUUGUUUCUCUGUUACUGGUUUCAACUGAUCCAUCAUUUACUGGCUUCUGAAGUAUCUACAGAAUGAUCUACAUUGAAGGAUUUUGCUUAAUUCCAGUCUGUGAUCAGAGUGUUCCUGAACACUUGCAUAUUUUCAAGGCUAGGUGGCUGCAGUGCUUUAUUUAAAGGACUUUUUGUCAAGUCCUUAUGUGGAUGAAGUUUAUGGCAAGUGCAGCAAGCUCAGUGUUGCAGGCUCACACACCAGGCCAGACAGAUCACUAGCUUCUUGUCAGAUAGUACUAAUUGCAAAGACAUUGCAUUUAAAUUCUCCUGAUUGACUGUGGCUUGACAUGCCUGACAUAAUCUUCAAUAUUUUUCUUGUCUGAUUGUUGUAUCUCAAGAAGCAGUUUACUUUGAGUUGGAAAUGCACAGUAGGAGCCAGCAUAUUUGAGAAUGAGGCAGCCUGGUACUGGAAUUAAUUAAUUUCAUCAGUUACACAUGCCUUUUUACUUCAUUUUUACUGACAGGAUUCAGUACCCCAUGCUCUCUUCUCAGUGGCAAUACUAGCUGAGACAACGUUCAGCCUUAUUAUUUCUUGUAACCCCAACUUCAGUUCUUCCCUCUUGCCAGAGUGAGGAUGUAGGAAAACUUCCAGAGCAAACAACAUUGCAUAGAUGGUCUGAUUUAAGAAAGAGAAGAGCUCCCUUAACUUUCCGAAGCUGUAUCAAUCACUGACGAUUUCACUGUUCCCACAGCAAGCUACUGGAAACACAAGAGGAGAAACAAAAGGCAUGUGACAGGAGGAGUGCAAAUACCUUGGAGUGGUAUUGCUGCCAGGUUAUUCCCACUGGGCAAAACAGAAGAUGGCUUCAAUGACUCUUCUGAAGGCGUCUUGCUCAUUUGAGUUCUGUUCCUAUCAAACUGUAUACAUAAUCCCCUUUUUUCUGGACACAGCAGGAAAUAGGAGAUAGUUUCCGUGCUCAGUCUCAGGCCCCCACCAGGCAACAUUCACUCACACAUGUACACAGACACACAAUUGUAUGCUAUUGUUGCUUUUGUGGGCAGGAGGGGCUGUUGUCAUUAUAGCCCUUGCUGUCACAACCCUAAUGUUUCAUUUAAUGACUUCCAUAACCUGUCUCCCUCCAAGCUGCUUUUUGUAUCUUUAUCUCAAAUUAUAGAGUGACUCCCCAGACAAUUUUCAACCCUCCUGAUUUCAGACCAGAUUAUUCAACUUCCACUCCAGGCCUCUCAUUCUGGUGAAUAAUUUGAGCAGUGACUUCAGUUGUUUUGGAUAAAAUAAAUUUUUAAGAAAAGGGUAUUUGACUGUAGCUGGAAUGGAAGUAGGCUAUCAUUCCUAGUAACCUUAAAUAGGAUUUAGACUUUUUCAUAAAUCAAAGGUACCUCUCAUGAAAGUAAGUUGCAGCCUUUUAGUGUCUCCUGCACCAUUAUGACUUUUCUGUCUAUAUAAGCAGACAAGUGCCUGGUUCCCAGAGUGGAAUCCAUCAUCCUGAAGUUAAUUUCAAGUAUCUUUUUUGUGUGCUUACCAGAAGCAAUUUAAAGCUGCAGUCUAACAGUGCAUUGUCUCUAAAGGAGAAUCCUUCUUCUGCCAGUAGCCACCCCUCAGCCCCCUUGGUAAGAAGGGCUCCUCUGCCUCCGUGGUAAGCCAGUUCAAUCCACUGCCUGUGCAGAAAACCACUCACUUUCUGUUCUUUUAUUCUAUUUUUUUUUUCAGAUACCCCUUGUUUAAGAGGGUGAGUAAGAAGCAUAGCACAUAUGUCUUCCUCAAAUACAGUCAUGAUCCAGAAAAUGGCUGAGGGGUUUCAAGACUGGUAUCUAAAGUAGUGAUUUUAUCUUUCCUAAUUUGUCAGUGACAAGAAGAGGACUUCUAACUGAUGUGCUAAGGAUCUUCCUCUUUGUCCUGCUCUUUUGUCAAAUCUUUGGUUUAUUGUUGUGUUGCUGGGGUUUUUUUGUUUGUUUGUUUUUUUGUUCUAGCAUCUCUGAUGUUUUAUAGUGAUGAAAAGAGAAACAUUGUGCUCUGGACUAGUAUGCCUGUUAAAAAAUGAUUGAGUUACAGAAAUUCACCUCCAAGUACAUACAUACAUACAGAACUAUUCCCACAUAUACUAGAUGGAUUAACAAUUAUUACACCUAAAUCUGAUCUCUUAUCAAGGUAGAGCAAGUCUUGGGCUACAUGGCCAGCCUGUCUAGUAUUUGAUGUAUGGAGCACCAUUUCUUGUCUUUCAUCAUGAUCCAAAUGAUAAUAUUGCAGACCACCAUGCAUGCAGCCUAACCAGUACAAGGAAAUUUUGAGAAAGCAAGCAUAGACCCUUCAGAGAACUGUGUCUCAGUCUCUCAUUUGUUGGGCAGCUAUGCAGAGAUAUUUUAGAGUGGCUUUUGCAGUAUUCAGAUACUUCCUUGGCUAGUUAAUAUCAAGAAUGGAAAAAGACAUAUCUUCUGGCAAACAUGGACAAAAAAAUAUAAAUUAAAACAAGCAUGCUCCUUA